GCCUACCAUGCAAGUCGAACGGCAGCACAGGAGAGCUUGCUCUCUGGGUGGCGAGUGGCGGACGGGUGAGGAAUACAUCGGAAUCUACUCUGUCGUGGGGGAUAACGUAGGGAAACUUACGCUAAUACCGCAUACGACCUACGGGUGAAAGCAGGGGACCUUCGGGCCUUGCGCGAUUGAAUGAGCCGAUGUCGGAUUAGCUAGUUGGCGGGGUAAAGGCCCACCAAGGCGACGAUCCGUAGCUGGUCUGAGAGGAUGAUCAGCCACACUGGAACUGAGACACGGUCCAGACUCCUACGGGAGGCAGCAGUGGGGAAUAUUGGACAAUGGGCGCAAGCCUGAUCCAGCCAUACCGCGUGGGUGAAGAAGGCCUUCGGGUUGUAAAGCCCUUUUGUUGGGAAAGAAAUCCAGCUGGCUAAUACCCGGUUGGGAUGACGGUACCCAAAGAAUAAGCACCGGCUAACUUCGUGCCAGCAGCCGCGGUAAUACGAAGGGUGCAAGCGUUACUCGGAAUUACUGGGCGUAAAGCGUGCGUAGGUGGUCGUUUAAGUCCGUUGUGAAAGCCCUGGGCUCAACCUGGGAACUGCAGUGGAUACUGGGCGACUAGAAUGUGGUAGAGGGUAGCGGAAUUCCUGGUGUAGCAGUGAAAUGCGUAGAGAUCAGGAGGAACAUCCAUGGCGAAGGCAGCUACCUGGACCAACAUUGACACUGAGGCACGAAAGCGUGGGGAGCAAACAGGAUA
rnacentral:rRNA from 1 species